UUCCAUAUGCCUAGCCCCACAUGGGCUCAUUCCCAAGAGUCCCUUCCCUUUCCUUUCCCCCAUUCUGUUCCUCUGCUUUUCCCCCUAAUCCUCAUCUUUCUUAUAUUCACCCAAAACCUUAAAUUUCUAAUCCAACCCAAUCCCAUAUUAUAAUUACAUUACUCCAAUAUCAUACCUCCACUUGUUUCAAUUCUCCAAGCCACCACUAUUUGGUUCAAAAUUCAAGUAGUUUGAGCUCAAGAUCAACUUGAUAUUUACAGAUCGAGAUAGAUCGGCACUUCAAGAUCAACUUGAUAUUUACAUUCAUUUUGUGCGUUAUGAUAAUGAUUUUUCUCAAUUGCGGGGGAUUAAAUGAGCUUGCUAAGAAAAUGAUGGAGAAAGGGUUUCAUCGAACAUUUGCAUAUGUAUAUUUGCUUGUUUAGUUGGCUUUGGUUUUACCAGUUGCAACUGCUUUAGUGGAGAGGGCAUUUUCCGCUAUGAAUAUCAUUAAGGGUCCACUUCGCAACAAAAUGGGAGAUCAAUGAUUGAGUGACAGCUUAGUUGUUUACAUUGAGAAAGAUGUUUUUUCAUGUAUUGGUAAUGAAGCUGUCAUGGAACAUUUUCAGACUAUAUAACCUCGUUGUGGACAUUUGAAUUAGGAUUUUAUAGCUUGUAAUGUUGUCUUGCACAUGAUUUUUGAAUGAAAUGUAUUAUAUUUAACUUUUCAAUUUUAUUUUUAUUUAUAAAUUUUUUUACCUUUA